UAUAAUUAAUGUUAUAUGUUACAAAGGACACCCCCUUUAACAUUUAAACUCAGCCUGCUCUAGGCACCAGGUGUUCUAUCUUGAUCACACCAACCUACCCUUAUCACCACUUUCCUCAGCCUAACUUUGGACCUGAUUAAGUACUAGAUCUCCUCAAACAAAACUCUCAGAAAUAAAACUGCAACAAACUAAACUGUAGUUUUCUCAGAGCCUUUAGUAACAUACCAGAUGUUACAGCCUGGUCUCAGCUGUGUUCUGCAGGAGUAUUAAGAGAAGACUCUCCUCUGGGGCAGAAAAUUAAAAGAAAGCAGCACCUCUGAGGCAGGUAAAAAGAACCCAGAAUUGGGGUGAAUUCAUCAGUUCUCUGUUUCAAUCAAAAAGAGGAACACAAUAUGCGCUUCUCCAAAAUGUAUAAAAGCAAAAAUAUAUGUAAAUUCACGAAUUCAUUAAA
rnacentral:lncRNA from 10 species